rnacentral:rRNA from 1 species
UACGUAGGGUGCGAGCGUUGUCCGGAAUUAUUGGGCGUAAAGAGCUCGUAGGCGGCUCAUUGCGUCAACCGUGAAAACCAGCAGCUCAACUGUUGGCUUGCGGUUGAUACGGGUGGGCUGGAGUUCGGUAGGGGAGACUGGAAUUCCUGGUGUAGCGGUGAAAUGCGUAGAUAUCGGGAGGAACACCAGUGGCGAAGGCGGCUUCCUGGCCUGUUCUUGACGCUGAGGCGGCGAAAAGCUAGGGGAGCAAACGGG